rnacentral:lncRNA from 1 species
AGGUUUUCUCCUGGCGCAUGGGCGCCGCCAAUCAUUUCGGGGCUUAUUUUGGUUCUAAAGCCCGGGGCAGCCAGGCCUCCCUGCCUGGCCUCGGCGGGGACGCGGGACCUGGGGCCCCGGACCGGGCCUAACCGCCCUGGCCGGUCCCCACUGAUGGUGGCGGUCGGUCCUGAUCGUCCUGAUGGCAGCGACCAGGCUGGACUCGGGCUGUGCAGGGGCGAGGGGAGCAGGGCGGGGUGACGCCCGGAGAGCGGCCUGGAGAGCGCGUGCUUCAGAAGGCGUGGGCACCCUGUCCCCUUUGCAGAUGGGGAUGCAGGCCCUGGUGGCGGUGGAGGGGAGAUGGGGGCAGGGACGUUGCCGGGCAGAGGAAGCUGGAGCUUUGGAAUAAACAGAUUUCCAUAAAGAAAAGCUGCUUUAGAGUGCUACACUGUAAGAGGGGCCGGGCAAACAAGAAGGGACGGAGGAAAGACCACCAAGUGAGAGGCACAGGUGUCAGGACACACAGAGAGCCCGAAAACGAGGCAGAGGUGAGCGGGGACCAGCAGCACAGCGGCACUGACGCGCCAGGGACUUGGGCUCUGCUGGCCUCCUCCCUCGCGGCCAGCAGUGGCAGUGGUGGGAGUAGGCCUGGCUUGUCUGUGGUUGCCUUUGUUGCUUUAAUUGAAAGUACUCAAGGCUAUUUCUUGUCGCGUCAUUUCUGACAGUGUCCGGUGGUCCCUACCCUGUAAUGCCAGGAGGUUCCAGCCCCACCCUUCCCUCCCCACUCCCUCUUUCAUCUCCCGGAUCCUAUUAGAGGAUUGCUUUUAUAGCUGAUGAGCUGAUGAAGUAUGCAUUUAGCCCUUUAACCGUAACUGAAUUUCCCCUGGUGCACAUCUGUAUGAAGGGUGUGCACCAGGGCUGAGCCGUCUGCUGGGCGAAUAUGUCCCUCCCUGAGGCCCAGGACCACAACCCCUGAGUCACUCAAAGGAAUCGUUCCCAGCCUUAAGAAGUUUGGCUGCUGUAACUGACUGGGAAGCUUAAAAUAACAGACAAUCAUCUCUCACAUUUAUGGGGACUGGGAAGUCCAAGACCAAGUUGCCAUCUGGGGAGGGCCUGUUCCUCACAGCGCCUUCCAGCUCAGGCCUCGUUUAUAAGGGCACUCAAGCCUUCCACGACAACGGGUCCUCAUGACUUACUCACCUCGGAAAGCCCCACCCCCAAGACCAUCACAUUGUGGGUGAUGGCAGAGCAUAAGGUGCCUUCCCCACAUGCUCGGGUUGGCCCAGCGUCUCACGCUAGCAGCUACGUGGAAUAGUUAUUUUUUCUGGAGAACUCUGGGACCCCUCUGAUGUCUUGGAGCACCCACACAGGCCGUUCACUGUGCACGCUGUGAGGCUGUCGUCUUGGAGCACCCACACAGGCCGUUCACUGUGCACGUGGUGAGGCUGUCCUCUGGGGAGUUCUGCUGUUGUAUGGGUUCUGUCUGUGUCAAUGUCCCAGCGGGAACGCAGGGCACACUAGCGUCAUCCCCAGAGGGCUUGGUAAGGGGACUGUUUGCAGAGACAUAGGCAGAGGGCUGGAAAACUACCAAAAAAGUGCAGUGUUCUGGACCUAAUAAUAGCAGAGCUAUUCUCACCCUGGUCUGAAGGCAGGAGGGGAGGAGCAGUUAAUGGAUUCUGGAAGUCAGGUUGCACAGAGUCACCUUGAAAGAUGCCAUGACCUUCACCGAGGGCCAGACAGAGACUAAGAUGACCCCAUAGGAGAAUAAGACCUAGACCUCAUCCUCCUGCCUCCUGCCAGUCCCUGCCAGGGGUCGCCAAUGGCAAAACAGGACUGGAAGCCAGAGGCCAUGGAAGCCCAUGGAUGAAGUCCACAGGCCAGCCUCCCCGAGAGCAGCCUGGACGGUCCGCAGGAGACGUCUCCUGUCUUAGGCGUCCCACGCCGCGUGCUCCUGUUCAGCCCUGCCGAGGUGGAAGCUUGGAGUGGCUCACGGUGGAUGCAUUGACGCUGCAGACGCCAGCAAGUGCUACAAACCAGAGCUGGCCUUUAACUCAGACUGAUGGAGAAGGUGUUAAUAAUGCAGAUUAGACUUAAAAGUGUUGAAGCCAUUGCACUGUGAACAGCAAAAAAAUUGAAGAACUCUUCUGGCAUUUAAAAACAAUUACUCAGUUCAGCAGAGAAGUCACUGACAAACGAGAUCACACUGACUGCUUUGUCGUUUUGGUUUUGUCUUACUCAUUAAUGCAAAUAAGAACAUUCACUAGCAUCUGUGUCGGGCCUACCCUCCCUGGUCAAAUACAGCUACAGUCUCCCUGCAGAAACGAGUUUUCCAGAAAUGAGCCGAUGUUUUCUGCGAGAAUCAAUUGGUCAUAUACAAUUUACAAAAAUGAGUACUGUAUACUAUAUUUGUAAACUGUACACUGCAGAUGCUUUAUUUCACUGAAAUUUAUAAUACACUUAUCCAUGUAUAUGCAUGCAUGCAUUUUUGUUCCUGAGAUCCAGCUGUGAAAUGUUUACCAGCACAUAAAUUACCAGCACAUGCUCUUUUUUGUUAACCUACUAGGUAAAAUCUUCAUUUAUUACAUCAAAUUCUUGUAGUUUUUGUAUUGCAAUUAUGCAGAUAUUGAUUAUCGCAGUAUUACUGCAAUUAUACAGAUACCACAAUUUCAGAUAUUGAUCAGCGUGUUCAGUUGGUUUCUAAGGAGGUUUACUUACCUCAUGGUACACCUAGUUUGCAUAGUUUGAUUAUAUUUAACUCUUAUGCUAAUUGGGGGAAGUCAUUGAUUUAUUGGACAGAUGCACCUGUGGUCUUCCCUGAGCACAUCCUGGCCAAGGAUGCUGCCCCCAGGAGAUUUGAGAAGUCCUGUAAGGAUCAUAUCAGUAUUUUCAAAUACUUAUAGAAAAGCCAGAGGGAUUGACCCAGAAUUACCAAUAUAAGCUUGACCCUGAGAUAACAAUGCCAUUUUAUGUUUGCAUGCAUAAAACCAAUGCAAGAGGCUGAUGACUCCAGAUCCCUUAUAUAAGCCAAUAAAAAGUAGUUUCAUUUUUUAUUUCAUUUAAAAAAGUGUACCAUUAACCUAAA